rnacentral:lncRNA from 1 species
CUCAUUUUUCUACUGCUCGUGAGAGCUCUGUUGUUGCAAUGUUCAGCCCACAAGAGCUUACUGGUGAAGGAAUGGGACAAGACCCAUCUUUAUGCAAAGCCAGCGUUACAGUAAUGUUCCAGCAUCUCAUAAUCUAUCCUGGGGAAUUCAGCUGCCUCCCAGGGUGAAUACAGGUAUUCCUGAUGACAGUCUGCCUCUAUCUUACAGAGCAGCUUGUUGCUAUAUACCAUUGAAAAGCCUUCAGAGCUGAGAGGUACUACUAACCAAUAACCUGCUUGGCUCAAAGGGCCAGCACCUUCUCUCUAAAGCCCAAGAGGAGUUUGAGGAAAACUAGGUGUCUGUGUUCACUCCAGGCUGAAGUUACAGGUCUGAGCAAAUAAGGUGUAUAAAAAAUGGAAUCUGUCUUGGAGGACAUCAGAAGGUGAAUUUUCCAAGUUCUUGGACAACCUAGCUGUUGAAAAGCUUUCUGGGUUUGGGGGGUAUUUCAGAUGUACCUUAAAGUGUUAGCAGACACAGAUUAAGACACUGGGAGCCAAUGAAACAGCAGUUGAGGGUUUGCUGUGUAUCACAUUUCUGUAUUUUAUCACCCCCUUCCUGCAACAUUAUUUAUCUGGAAUCUACCUGCCCUUUUGUUUUUUAGAUACAAGGGCUUGGUUUUGUUACCCAGGCUGGUUUCAAGGCCAUAGCUUUAAGAGAUCCUCUCACCACAGAUUUCCAAAGUGCUGGGAUUGCAGGUGUGAUUCAUGGCACCCAGACUUUGCUGCCUUUCUUACAUGAUCCAGGCCCAGAACCCAAACUCAGGCACUGUAUAGAUGACCACUUUCGUAAACUACUGACCUAGCUUGUUGCCAAUUGUUGAUUGAACUUCCCAUAACUCCACUUCGUGUCUGUUCCUCUGUAUACAGCCACCUUCUGUUCCCGUCAUGAGCCUUUAGGUCUCCAUUUGCAUAUUGCAAAUACUAUGUUCCAUGUAGGUAGCUCAUUCAGGGCCUUGCUCUUCACUUCAAAAAAGGUUCCCUUGAGGACUGGCUGUCAAUUUGUGUUGCUGUGUUGGUUGUUGAUGAAAAUAAUAAAAUGAUUGAUUACAUA